rnacentral:tRNA from 3 species
GGAGAGGUGGCCGAGUGGCUGAAGGCGCUCCCCUGCUAAGGGAGUAUACGUGAUAAGCGUAUCGAGGGUUCGAAUCCCUUCCUCUCCGCCA